CCUACGGGCGGCAGCAGUGAGGAAUAUUGGUCAAUGGCCGGAAGGCUGAACCAGCCAUGCCGCGUGAAGGUCAGUGCCCUAUGGGCGUUAAACUUCUUUUGUGCGGGAGCAAUAAUGGUCACGUGUGGCCAGACGAGAGGACCGUACGAAUAAGCAUCGGCUAACUCCGUGCCAGCAGCCGCGGGAUUACGGGGGAUGCAAGCGUUAUCCGGAUUUAUUGGGUUUAAAGGGUGCGUAGGCUGUGAGGUAAGUCAGCGGUGAAAUGCCCCCGCUCAACGGGGUGAAGGGCCAUUGAUACUGGCUGGCUGGAAUGCGGAUGCGGUGGGAGGAAUGUGUGGUGUAGCGGUGAAAUGCAUAGAUAUCACGCAGAACACCGAUUGCGAAGGCAUCUCACGAAUCCGCGAUUGACGCUGAUGCACGAAAGUGUGGGUAUCAAACAGGAUUAGAUACCCCUGUAGUC
rnacentral:rRNA from 1 species